rnacentral:rRNA from 1 species
CGUUCCUAGAGACCGGCGCACGGUGGCGUAACGCGUAUGUCAAUCUACCUUUUGCAGAGGGAUAGCCCAGAGAAAUUUGGAUUAAUACCUCAUAGUAUGUGAGAAUGGCAUCAUUUCACAUUAAAGUCACAACGGCAAAAGAUGAGCAUGCGUCCCAUUAGCUUGUUGGUAAGGUAACGGCUUACCAAGGCAACGAUGGGUAGGGGUCCUGAGAGGGAGAUCCCCCACACUGGUACUGAGACACGGACCAGACUCCUACGGGAGGCAGCAGUGAGGAAUAUUGGACAAUGGGCGCAAGCCUGAUCCAGCCAUGCCGCGUGCAGGAUGACGGUCCUAUGGAUUGUAAACUGCUUUUGUACAGGAAGAAACACUGGUUCGUGAACCAGCUUGACGGUACUGUAAGAAUAAGGAUCGGCUAACUCCGUG